ACCAGACCGGAAGCGAACGAUUCUACGUUAAUGAGAUUUGCUGUCAUUUAAAUUGUUGAUGAAAUAUCAACUGUGUUGUGCUAGACGUUUUUCCAGCUGAUAACAAAUCUCAUCUCCCAACCCUGACAUCAGUAUCUCAUCGGUUUAGCUACGAUCUCGUAGCUAACGUACAUGGAACAAAAUGGCAAGUUUUUUGUUGUUUUUUUUGGUAUACAGACAACUCAUCCCAAAGACAACUCAUCUCAAGACAACUCGUCCCAAUAAAAGACAACUCAUCCCAAUAUAAAAGACUACUCAUCCCAACUUUAAAACAUGGGUAGAGUUAUAAGACAAGUUAUAAGACAACUCAUCCCAACAAAUUUAAGUGCCUGUUUUAAUAUAAUUGCUUUCUUUGAAGACCACUCAGACCAAAACCAAUCUGAUUUUGUUAUCUUAAAGGGACAAUAACACUCUUGCUGGCUUGACAGCUCCAGAAAAUAAAAAAGAGCCUUAUUCUAAGUACUAGAUGUUUAAGUGUCCUACCGGUCGUGUAAAUUAUUCAUUACAUCCUAUUUUACUUGUCCAGAGGGUUCGAAAAUAUUUUUAAAUCCAAGUCACAUUUGAAAAGCUUUACAUUAGGCUUUUCAAAUCAUUUAGUUGAAUUUUUCCAAUUUUUUAAAUUAGGUGUGUUAAGAUGAAAUUUGUAUCACCAAUUAAUUGGAAUAUUGUAAAAUAGUACAAUUUGUUGACCAGAAUAAAGAUUGGGACAUAUUAUUCAGUUACAACAAGAGUGGUAUUGAGCCUUUAAUAAAAUUGAUAUUGUUGUUUUAAUCAAAUUGAUAUUGUUGUUGUAAUAAACUGAUGAUUACUGUUUGUAUUACUGUUUUAGUACUUUGUUGUUUUAACAGAUUGGUAGUUGUGUUUUGUUUUAUUUUUUCAUCAUGAAGCACUUCAAAGAAAAUUAAUUAACAAAACAUCGAUUAACUAAACUGAGUAGUAGUAUUUCAGUAUCAUUUUUCAAAAUGUCUGAUAGCUGUAUAGUUUGUGAGUCAGUUGUUCGCCCAAGACCGGAGGCUGUUCAGUGCGACGGAUGUGAACGAUGGCAGCACAGAACUUGUAAUACUGGAAACUAAUGAUGUUAAAACAUUCCAUCAGUGUGUUGUAUGUGAUGAGAUUUUUCAACAACUUGAUGAUUUAGAACAACACAAUAAAAUACAUGUUAAAGAAGAGAAAAUUGAUGAUGUAGAUGAAUAUUGCCGUGUUAAAGAAGAGAAAAUUGAUGAUGUAGAUGAAUUUUUCCAUGUUAAAGCAGAGAAAACUGAUGAUGUAGAUGAAUAUUGUAAUGUUCAUUUUAAAGAUGAAAAAGCUGAUGGUGAACAUGGAAAUGUUAAAGAAGAGAAAACUGAAGACAUUGAAACAUGCUAUCAAUGUAAUUUAUGUGAUGAGGAAUUCAAAUCUAAUACUGAUUUAGAAAAACACUGUGAAAUACAUGUUGAAGAAUUUAAAUUUUGCAAUGAUGUAGACCAACCAUCAGCUGCCUGUAAGGGUAAUGACGUAGGUCUACAAUCGGCUGACAGUCAGGAGGGUAUUGACAUAGGCCUACAAUCAGCUGACUGUAAAGGUAGUUAUUUAGGCCUACAAUCAGCUGACAACAUUACACAAGAGACAAUAGAUAAACCUUAUAAAUGUGAUGUUUGUAAUAAACCAUUUACUCGACAAAGUAGCGCACACAGACACUUGAAAACUCAUACGGGUGAAAGGGUGUUUAAAUGCGAUAUUUGUAGUAAAUCGUUCACUUGGAAAAGUUGCUUAAAGAAACACACGCGAGUCCAUACAAGAGAUCAACCCUAUAAAUGUGAUGUUUGUAAUAAAUCAUUUACAUGGAGCACUAGCUUUGAGAUUCACAAGAGCUCCCACACUGGAAAAAAACCUUUCAAAUGUGAUGUUUGUGAUAAACCGUUUUCUGAUAGUAGCGGUUUGAAAAUACACAUGAGAAUUCAUACUGGCCAGAAACCAUAUAAAUGUGAUGUUUGUGGUAAAUCGUUUACAUGGAAACCAAGUUUACAGAAACACAUGAAACAUCAUACCGGUAGAGAACCGUAUUAUUGUGAUAUUUGUGGUGUUGGUUUUAGAAAGAAAGGCAAUCUGUUGGUACACAACAGAAUUCAUGAUCCAAUAUCCUUACAGUGAAACAUUUAAUCAUGUGAGAACUUGUUGUUUGUUGUUUAUUACAAAUAUUAUGGACAGGUUGAUUUAAAGGACAAUAUUGGUGUCAGUCAUUACCACAUAUGUGAUAGAACUGGUUAAACACGUUCCAAAUAUAAUUUUGACACAGAGAUCAUUGCUACGAUAGAUGCGUUAUGAAAAUAGAAGUCUGUGCAUUAUAAUAAUUUUAGUAAUUAUAGAAUGAAUUAAAACAAAGGACUGUAUGGACUAUUUCUAUUUUUCUUGUUUUCCCUUAUCUAGUGGCAUUCAAUUACGUUUUUGAAUUAUCAGAUAUCCUCUGAUAUCAGUGAGCAGAAAUUCGCCCGUGAAUCUGUUAUCACUCAUCACUUCAGUCAGUUAUAUAGAAGGAUAACUCGUGUUUUCCUUUUGUGUUCGUCACUUCCCUUUCUUGAAAGCUUCAUAACGUAUCUAUUGUAGCAAUGAUCUCUGUGUUAAAAUUAUAUUUGGAACGUUUUUAACAAGUUCGAUCACUGACUGACACCAAUAUUGUCCUUUAAUUAAGUUAUUUACAUGUGAAGGAGUA